rnacentral:rRNA from 1 species
CAGUAAGGCUGAGUAUUAGGCAAAUCCGGUACUCGUUAAGGCUGAGCUGUGAUGGGGAGAAGACAUUGUGUCUUCGAGUCGUUGAUUUCACACUGCCGAGAAAAGCCUCUAGAUAGAAAAUAGGUGCCCGUACCGCAAACCGACACAGGUAGUCAAGAUGAGAAUUCUAAGGUGAGCGAGCGAACUCUCGUUAAGGAACUCGGCAAAAUGACCCCGUAACUUCGGGAGAAGGGGUGCUCUUUAGGGUUAACGCCCAGAAGAGCCGCAGUGAAUAGGCCCAAGCGACUGUUUAUCAAAAACACAGGUCUCUGCUAAACCGUAAGGUGAUGUAUAGGGGCUGACGCCUGCCCGGUGCUGGAAGGUUAAGAGGAGUGGUUAGCUUCUGCGAAGCUACGAAUCGAAGCCCCAGUAAACGGCGGCCGUAACUAUAACGGUCCUAAGGUAGCGAAAUUCCUUGUCGGGUAAGUUCCGACCCGCACGAAAGGCGUAACGAUUUGGGCACUGUCUCAACGAGAGACUCGGUGAAAUCAUAGUACCUGUGAAGAUGCAGGUUACCCGCGACAGGACGGAAAGACCCCGUGGAGCUUUACUGUAGCCUGAUAUUGAAAUUCGGCACAGCUUGUACAGGAUAGGUAGGAGCCUUUGAAACGUGAGCGCUAGCUUACGUGGAGGCGCUGGUGGGAUACUACCCUAGCUGUGUU